UACCAGCUCUCCGAGUGGUAGGGAUGUUUAUUGGGCUUAAAGCGUCCGUAGCCGGCUUAGCAAGUCUCCUGUUAAAUUCAGCGACCUAAUCGUUGAGCCGCGGGAGAUACUACUAGGCUAGGAGGCGGGAGAGGUCAACGGUACUUCCGGGGUAGGGGUGAAAUCCUAUAAUCCCGGGAGGACCACCAGUGGCGAAGGCUGUUGACUAGAACGCGCUCGACGGUGAGGGACGAAAGCUGGGGGAGCGAACCGGAUUAGAUACCCGGGUAGUCCCAGCUGUAAACGAUGCGAGCUAGGUGUUGGGGUGGCUACGUGCCACUUCAGUGCCGCAGGGAAGCCAUUAAGCUCGCCGCCUGGGGAGUACGGCCGCAAGGCUGAAACUUAAAGGAAUUGGCGGGGGAGCACCACAAGGCGUGAAGCUGGCGGUUC
rnacentral:rRNA from 1 species